GGGUUGUGAGGUUAAGCGACUAAGCGUACACGGUGGAUGCCCUGGCAGUCAGAGGCGAUGAAGGACGUGCUAAUCUGCGAAAAGCGUCGGUAAGGUGAUAUGAACCGUUAUAACCGGCGAUGUCCGAAUGGGGAAACCCAGUGCAAUUCGUUGCACUAUCGUUAACUGAAUACAUAGGUUAACGAGGCGAACCGGGGGAACUGAAACAUCUAAGUACCCCGAGGAAAAGAAAUCAACCGAGAUUCCCCCAGUAGCGGCGAGCGAACGGGGAGCAGCCCAGAGUCUGAAUCAGCUUGUGUGUUAGUGGAACGGUCUGGAAAGUCCGACGGUACAGGGUGAUAGUCCCGUACACCAAAAUGCACAGGCUGUGAACUCGAAGAGUAGGGCGGGACACGUGGUAUCCUGUCUGAAUAUGGGGGGACCAUCCUCCAAGGCUAAAUACUCCUGACUGACCGAUAGUGAACCAGUACCGUGAGGGAAAGGCGAAAAGAACCCCGGCGAGGGGAGUGAAAAAGAACCUGAAACCGUGUACGUACAAGCAGUGGGAGCACCUUCGGGUGUGACUGCGUACCUUUUGUAUAAUGGGUCAGCGACUUAUAUUCUGUAGCAAGGUUAACCGUAUAGGGGAGCCGCAGGGAAACCGAGUCUUAACUGGGCGUUAAGUUGCAGGGUAUAGACCCGAAACCCGGUGAUCUAGCCAUGGGCAGGUUGAAGGUUGGGUAACACUAACUGGAGGACCGAACCGACUAAUGUUGAAAAAUUAGCGGAUGACUUGUGGCUGGGGGUGAAAGGCCAAUCAAACCGGGAGAUAGCUGGUUCUCCCCGAAAGCUAUUUAGGUAGCGCCUCGUGAAUUCAUCUUCGGGGGUAGAGCACUGUUUCGGCUAGGGGGUCAUCCCGACUUACCAACCCGAUGCAAACUACGAAUACCGAAGAAUGUUAUCACGGGAGACACACGGCGGGUGCUAACGUCCGUCGUGAAGAGGGAAACAACCCAGACCGCCAGCUAAGGUCCCAAAGUCAUGGUUAAGUGGGAAACGAUGUGGGAAGGCACAGACAGCCAGGAUGUUGGCUUAGAAGCAGCCAUCAUUUAAAGAAAGCGUAAUAGCUCACUGGUCGAGUCGGCCUGCGCGGAAGAUGUAACGGGGCUAAACCAUGCACCGAAGCUGCGGCAGCGACACGAUGUGUUGUUGGGUAGGGGAGCGUUCUGUAAGCCUGCGAAGGUGACCUGUGAGGGUUGCUGGAGGUAUCAGAAGUGCGAAUGCUGACAUAAGUAACGAUAAAGCGGGUGAAAAGCCCGCUCGCCGGAAGACCAAGGGUUCCUGUCCAACGUUAAUCGGGGCAGGGUGAGUCGACCCCUAAGGCGAGGCCGAAAGGCGUAGUCGAUGGGAAACAGGUUAAUAUUCCUGUACUUGGUGUUACUGCGAAGGGGGGACGGAGAAGGCUAUGUUAGCCGGGCGACGGUUGUCCCGGUUUAAGCAUGUAGGCUGGUUAUCCAGGCAAAUCCGGAUAAUCAAGGCUGAGGUGUGAUGACGAGGCACUACGGUGCUGAAGUAACAAAUGCCCUGCUUCCAGGAAAAGCCUCUAAGCAUCAGGUAACAUCAAAUCGUACCCCAAACCGACACAGGUGGUCAGGUAGAGAAUACCAAGGCGCUUGAGAGAACUCGGGUGAAGGAACUAGGCAAAAUGGUGCCGUAACUUCGGGAGAAGGCACGCUGGUGUGUAGGUGAAGUCCCUGCGGAUGGAGCUGAGACCAGUCGAAGAUACCAGCUGGCUGCAACUGUUUAUUAAAAACACAGCACUGUGCAAACACGAAAGUGGACGUAUACGGUGUGACGCCUGCCCGGUGCCGGAAGGUUAAUUGAUGGGGUUAUCCGUAAGGAGAAGCUCUUGAUCGAAGCCCCGGUAAACGGCGGCCGUAACUAUAACGGUCCUAAGGUAGCGAAAUUCCUUGUCGGGUAAGUUCCGACCUGCACGAAUGGCGUAAUGAUGGCCAGGCUGUCUCCACCCGAGACUCAGUGAAAUUGAACUCGCUGUGAAGAUGCAGUGUACCCGCGGCAAGACGGAAAGACCCCGUGAACCUUUACUAUAGCUUGACACUGAACAUUGAGCCUUGAUGUGUAGGAUAGGUGGGAGGCUUUGAAGCGUGGACGCCAGUCUGCGUGGAGCCAACCUUGAAAUACCACCCUUUAAUGUUUGAUGUUCUAACGUUGGCCCCUUAUCGGGGUUGCGGACAGUGUCUGGUGGGUAGUUUGACUGGGGCGGUCUCCUCCCAAAGCGUAACGGAGGAGCACGAAGGUUAGCUAAUCCUGGUCGGACAUCAGGAGGUUAGUGCAAUGGCAUAAGCUAGCUUGACUGCGAGCGUGACGGCGCGAGCAGGUGCGAAAGCAGGUCAUAGUGAUCCGGUGGUUCUGAAUGGAAGGGCCAUCGCUCAACGGAUAAAAGGUACUCCGGGGAUAACAGGCUGAUACCGCCCAAGAGUUCAUAUCGACGGCGGUGUUUGGCACCUCGAUGUCGGCUCAUCACAUCCUGGGGCUGAAGUAGGUCCCAAGGGUAUGGCUGUUCGCCAUUUAAAGUGGUACGCGAGCUGGGUUUAGAACGUCGUGAGACAGUUCGGUCCCUAUCUGCCGUGGGCGCUGGAGAAUUGAGGGGGGCUGCUCCUAGUACGAGAGGACCGGAGUGGACGCAUCACUGGUGUUCGGGUUGUCAUGCCAAUGGCACUGCCCGGUAGCUAAAUGCGGAAGAGAUAAGUGCUGAAAGCAUCUAAGCACGAAACUUGCCCCGAGAUGAGUUCUCCCUGAGACUUUAAGUCUCCUGAAGGAACGUUAAAGACGAUGACGUUGAUAGGCCGGGUGUGUAAGCGCAGCGAUGCGUUGAGCUAACCGGUACUAAUGAACCGUGAGGCUUAACCUUACAACGCCGAAG
rnacentral:rRNA from 1 species